ACCCCAGGUAGUACGACGACAGUGAAACUCUCUCUCUCAUAUCUUACGAGUUACGAAUUACGAUAGAGAAGCAAAUUUGAGAAAGAGGAAAAGGAAAACUAAGGAGGAAACAAAUGGAAUCAAUCUCUGUUAAUUGGGAAGCUCUGGAUUCUCUGCUUAUAGAGUUUGCUAAAUCUGAAAACUUGGUUGAAGAUUUAGACGACUCUUCUCCUUCCUCCAAAUCUUCUCCGUCUUCUCCUCUUUCGUCUUCUUAUCGCUCUCGUUUGCUUAUCCAUCAGAUCCGACGAUCACUGGAAAUUGGUGACGUCGAUGCUGCAAUCGAGCUUCUUCGUAAACAUGCUCCAUUCAUCCUGGAUGAUCAUCGACUCCUCUUCCGAUUACAGAAGCAGAAAUUCAUAGAGCUUCUAAGGAAAGGGACAGCAAAAGGCCGUGAUUCUGCCGUUGAGUGCUUGCGGACAGCUCUUGCUCCUUGCGCUCUUGACGCCUAUCCGGAAGCAUAUGAGGAGUUUAAACAUGUUCUUCUUGCAUUAAUAUUUAACAAGGAUGAUCAGACCUCUCCUGUGGCCCAUGAGUGGUCUGAAAGGAGGAGGAUUGAUACUGCGGGAUUGUUAUCCUCUUUUUUAAGAGCAAACCUACAAGCUUAUGACCCGGUCUUCUCUAUGACUUUGAGAUACCUGAUAAGCAUACAUAAAGGAUUUUGCUUUCGUCAGGGUAUAUCAUCACCUAUUUCAGAUCUUACUGAGAGGUUGCUCCUUGAGGAACAUGACCCCCCAGCAACAUCGCAGGAGAGCCUGUAUGAGGCACCUCCAUUUGAUGAGGUUGAUAUACAAGCCCUUGCACAUGCUGUGGAGCUUACAAGACAAGGUGCAGUUGAUAGCUUGCGCUUUGCGAAAGGCGAUUUGUACCAGGCAUUUCAGAAUGAGUUGUGCCGAAUGAAACUGGAUGUUGCAAUGCUUGAUGAGCUUGUUCACGAGUAUUGUGUCUAUAGAGGGAUUGUGGACAGUGGUCUUGCAUCACCAUCUGCAUCGGAUAUGCAUACCCCAGGUAAAUCCCAAAAGAUGUAUGAACCAGAUCCUGUGCUUAGAUCCCCACAAGAUUGUGUUUCGAUCAACAUGGAUUAUCAAACCAUUAAUCAGUCUGAUGCUGAAACAUUCAUUAUUAGAUCUGAAAUGAGUGGUUCUCAAGAAGUGAAUGCUGGAACUAUGAGGAUGGAUGGUACUGACGUUGAGUUGCGAUACACAGAUGAGGCAAUAGGUAAUCAUGAAGACUGCAGCACUAGUGGGGCACAUCAGUCCAAAGUGAACAGAAGGUUUCAAAGGAGUAGAAGUUAUGCAACUGGAGAAAGGAGCAGGUGCAAGCGUUGGAGAGGAAGAGUUGAAGAGCUUGAAACUCUCUCUGAUGAUCCUUCUACAGUUUCCAUGAAUCAUUCUGCGCUUGAGCUUUGCAACAAGAGAAAGGAUCAUAAAUAUGAGAUUUUGCUGGACAUAAAAGAAUUAGCUACUAAAGGAAUGGCUGCUGAGGUUGUGGAAGAAGUAAAAGCAUUUGACCCUAAUUUUUUUGUGCAAAAUCCUAUCCUUUUAUUCCAACUUAAGCAGGUUGAAUUUCUUAAACUGGUCAAGAGCGGUGAUCAAUCUAAUGCUCUUCGGGUUGCCUGCUCUUAUUUGGGUCCUUUGGCAGCAAGUGAUCCAACUUUGCUGAAGCCUUUGAAGGAGACUUUAGUGGCUUUGCUUAAACCUAAUGAAGAUGCUCUAGCAAAAGGCGGACCCUUGUCUGUUCUUGCAACGUCACUUCAAGCUGCAAUGGGUCGGAGGCUUGGCAUUGAAGAACCACAGCUAAUGAAGAUAAUAAGAGCAACACUUCAUACUCAUAAUGAGUGGUUCAGACUCCAAAUGUGUAAAGACCGCUUUGAAGGACUUCUAAGGAUUGAUUCAUUAAAGGAAAUCAAUACUCCUUUACUUACCGAUCCAACCUCAAAGACAAAUGCGGAUACUUGCCUCAAUGGGGCUUCCCAAGUAACUGUCUCCUCAAGCGGCAGGAUGCCUGAAGAUUGUGGAAGCCCAAUUCAUGUGUCCUGUAGAGAUGUCAUCUGUGAUGAAAAUGCAAUACUCAAAGUGAUGAUAUUCUGAAACCCACAAGUGGAGGAGAAGAGAACCAACGGCCCACUGGCCGUGACCAGCCACACGCAUCGGCCACAGCUGCUGGCCCUUGUUCGUCGGCCGCAACAGGCUGCAACAACUGGCCCUUGUUGGUCGGCCGCAAUAGUCUGCAACAACUGGCCCUUGGGGCUUUCUGCGAUUGCAGAUCUAAAAGCAAAUCUGAUUUCAGAUCUGCUGUCUUUGAAGACCAGAAGAAAAGAGAGAGACGAGAAGGGUGGAUCAGAGGUGUAGAUGGAGAAGAAGGGGGAGGAGAAGGGCGAGGGAGGAGAAGGAAAGGAGUUGCAGCAAGCGGGAUAGAGAGUGGAGAAAAAGAGUUAUAAGGAAGAUGGGUGAAGGGGACAUCUCUUCACUCAUUUCUUCAAAUAAACCAUUUUGCACAUAUGGGAAUUUCUUGCUUUGCCGAGGGCUGAUGCGAUCAGUCUUCUAGCGCAAUACAAUGGAAAUGCUGAGGCUGUCAUACAACAAAUAUUUGGAUGAUACACCAUUGGCAAUUGUAGUUUUAUUACACCACUUUUUUUUAUUAUUUUCAUUGAAAAUUAUUUUAUUCAGUUUGUGUCAUAGCCAUCACAUCAUGUGUAUAUAUAUAUAUAUAUAUAUAUAUAAAUAUUUAUAUAUUUAUAUGGCUCGUGGAGCAGUGGAAUUUGUAUCAUCUGCUUCUGAUAGCCACCGCCUUGUACAAUUCCUUCUAAAAUAUUGAUUUUUUUUUUUUAAACCGGAUGUAGUCUAUCCCCGCAAUAAAACUAACAGAAGGUAUUGGAUUGA